CAUUAAAAGGUUGAAAGGGAAGUUUUCAGCAAAAAAGUUCUUCAAAAGUAUCUCAGAGAGCAGCUGAACAAUCAUCCUCAGCAUCUCUGGGUCACACACACUGAAUUUCUGAAAAAAAAGAGUCAUGUCCUCUUAAUAUUAGCACUUCAGUUCCUCAGUCUCCAAAGCUGGGGGACCACAGAGCCAUUCCUCUCCUCGAAUCAUCUUUCCCUGCAUGACUUCUGUCCAGCCUCUCACUAUCCCAGCUUCUCUGGACCCUAACAGCAGUUUCUGCUCACAGCAGAUUUAAUGAGGACUGCAUGUUGCUGGCUAUUUAGUUGGCUGUAGCUAUAAUUAGACAGCUGACAAAGACUGGCUGCUUGUGGGCUCUUUAUUUCUGUGAUUACAUACCAUAGUUGGUCUAUGUGCAAGACAAAAGAUGAUUUUUCUUCUUUGUCACUCCCCAAACUCCUCAAGGGAGUUGAUAAGAGUACUGGCUGCUUUCUGCCACUUACCUCACUACUAGCAGGAGGACAUUGUCAUCAUUUCUAAGCCAGUAAGUGUGUUGAAGUGACAUGGAGAGGAAUUCAAUCAGUCUCCUGCGGAAAUCCUGGAACAUUAAACACAAUGCUGCACAUGAUUUUGUUCAGGAGGGCUGCAGAUGGCUGCAGUGGGGGAAAGUCAGUGGCAAGUACUGACAUAUGCACUAUGGCAAGUACUCAAAAAUGAACUCCUCAUUCCCUUCAGCCUGAGGAAUGCUGAAUUCUGAUACCAUUUGGGGGGAAAUGAAGAUCAAUAAUAGCUAGCAGAUUUAUUUAGUUGUUGAUUUUUCAAGUGCUGGGCCACCAGUCCUGUUGUAUUUCUACUCUUUAAAUCGAGAGCAGACCUUUGCAACCAAGUGCCAGCAUUUGGUAGCAAGAAAGGCUUUCCUCAAGCAGCUGUCCUCUGAAAAACAUGCCGUGGUUUGAAAAUGUGGUUGCAAAAUGUGGACAAUGUGCACAGGAGUUAUUAAUGUUUGCAAGAAAAUGUGCUGCUUCAUCUCCAUUAUGGUCAUUAACCACAGCUGUGGUUUUGCAAGCAAAGAAUUCUGCACUCAUUCUCAGAUCUGAGAUUUGGAUUUCAGAAGCAGAGACACAGGGAGGCAAUACGCUGUCCAGGAAAACAAAGCAAGCCAGCCAGCUCUAUGACCAUUUGACUGGGAGACAGCUCCAGAGUCAUUCCAGUACUGGCAGUACAGCUAAGCCAGAGUUCUCCUACAAGCCAGAUGACACACUUGGAAAAAUAUAUUCCAGAGCUUGUUAUCCACCCUUUGCACCUGCCAAAUUUGCCCAUAUGGGACCACAGGGGUUGGCUCAACCCAAGGAGGAAAUAGAUGGGAAAAUGCAGAAGAGUAUCCAUAUCUCAAGCUGUGAGUAUCAUCAAGCCAGUGCUGAAGUUGCUACAAGUCAAUUUCUGAUGAAAGGACUGUGAUCUUUAGAAAGUCUAGUCCAAUGAAGAGGGUGCUUUUAGAUACAUGCAUGGGCAAAUAUUUAAAAGCCCAACAUAUAAAAUGUAAAUCCAGCUUGGGAUGCUCCAUUUUCACACAUACAUGAGCACAAUAGUUGUCAAACAGAUGUGAGCACAGGUGCUGGAAAGCACAGCUUUGGUGGCACAGGGUGUCCUUUGGGCAAUUGACCAUUAAGAAGUGAUUCCCCAAGCAUUGCUAGCAUAACUCUCCUUACAGUGGUGUGAACAGGCCAGUGCAUUCACCCCAAAUUCCAAGCUGCUCCUGCCUGGGAGUUUUAUCUCUGUGCUAGUGUGGUGGGGUGCCCAAAUGAACUGCCACACUGGAAAGCAGAGAGCACAGCAAUAUUAGCAAUAUUAGCAUGGCUGUGUGGCUUCUGGAGCCAAGGCCAAAGGGGCUGAGGGCUCUCAGAACCAUGGAGAUGUAACCAGGGAGGAAUUUGCUUAGCACCUGCACAGGUCUGAUCUUUCGUCCAGGAGAGUGAAGUAAAGCAGAGUUGUCCUUGACUAAGUGCAACAUACCUGAGUUUCAGUUCCAAACAGCCCCAGGGCUGCUGGCUGCAGAUGAGUCAAAUCCUGAGCAGCACACAGAUCAGCACUAUAUUUGUCAUGGGGAAAAAGCAUGGGAAUUCCAGCAUCAAAAGUACAAAAGCCCAGCACUUGAACAGGAACAGCAUCUCUUACAUUGCCAGCUCGAGCCAUCCAAAAGUUGCAGACAGGUUCCCAUGCUCAUGAACUUGUCUUUAGCUAAAAAUCACACUGCAAUAUAUGAUUUUAAUGACACAUUAGGGGUUGAUUGCAUUUGCUGUCUAGGGUUUUUUUUUUAACCACUGGGGUCUACUUCCAAACACUUCCACAACAGGAAGGCUCAGAAUAUGUUAUUUUCUGCUAUUUUUCAAAUGAAAGCUGAGGUUCUUAUGUAGUCAUCUUAACUCCAGGAGCUGUGUUUUUUAAGGCACACACCAAAUGUCAAGGGACUCACAAUAAAAUCUCAAGAAUUGGCAAGAUUGCCUUUGCUGGCUUUGGGGAAUGAGCAGGUUGUUGUUGGAGCUACACAUUAGAGGGAGACACACUCACAUGUUCUUAACCAGUGAACUGUGCACCGAGGUAUAAUGGCAAUUCGCCCAGCACUGACAUACAGCAACAAGAACAGGAUGCACAAAAUUCCCAGGCCUCUUAAACUAAUGGAGAAGCUUUGUUAGUUUCACUAACAAGGGAACCAAUGACAUAACCUGUCAUAAACAUGUUGGGACCAUUAUAUGCACAGACAUGAGAUAUAUUUAAACUAUAAAAACCCAUUUAAUAACCAAAAAGACAGCUGUGUAAUCUGCACAUUACACUCACAAAAAUGAAAUAAAAGUAAAAUGAACUGGAACAUGUGUGUCUGGAGAGAAGAGGGGUGAGAAAGGCCUGAAGACCGCUCAGAGGAAUCUAGGACCUGUCGUGCUCUGUACAAACCCUAUUUUACAGGGGUUUUUUAUUGUUUUUUUUAAUAGAAUUGCACAUACAUUAACAAUAGGACAAUUUUCACAUAUGGGGAGUAAGCUGGGAGGAGAACUUUUUCUCUUCUCCAUUGACACUGUCAAACAAAUGGGUACUCAUCUCGGUGUCCAAAUUAUCUGGGUACCAGCGCUUGGGAUCAAGACAAAGUCAAAGGAAUACAGUGAACUAGUCCUUAAUUUUCUUACAUUGAAGUGCAAACACUGAACCACAAUAUGGCAGAAAAAAAGAACCUGCUCCUUCAUCUAUCUCUGCCUUUUUUCUUAAAGGCAUUGUAGAUUUACGUGCAACAGGAAAACUGACUCAAACAUGUUUAACUAGGACUAUGCUCACAACCUGUUUGGGGUAUGGAGGUUUUUAUAAAUCAUAUUACUUAUGUUUUGUCAUCUCUAUGAAGGACAGGUUUAGCUCUAUAAUAACUCACUGAGGUUUUGUCAGGAUCAAUUUACAUUUGUCAGAUGCUCUGCAGUCUUCAAACAAAAGCCAUAAAAAAACAGCACUGCACUAGUAUUUCAUCUUUUUAAAAGUUAUGAUUUAUGGCCCAUAGAAUGGGAAGAAGAGGCAGUGGAGGAGUGUAUUUUUCUCCCAGCUGUAGACACCGAUCUUCUCCAGAGAGGAACCAAUGUACAAAACUCAGCAACAUGUAUCCCUAAUACCAAAAUAGAGAUUGAAAAACCCCACAGAGGUGCCUAAAUGUCUGUAUCUAAUUUAUGGGUAAUUUACACUGGAAAUAGAUGAUUUUAAAAUGUAUACAAAUUGUAUCCUUGCACAUCAGGGCAAAUAGAUAGCUUAACUACAAAAUAAUGAACAUGAAGUGUCUCCUGUGAGCUGCCAGGUAGACAUUUUGAUUGCCCAGAUUUCGUUAAACUCAAACCAGAGAGAGCUUGAAGUCUUCCAAACAUUCUUUAACUCUAUCAAGUGUGUCGGUACUCUGCAGCCGAUGACAAUAUAUUUCACCAGAGUUGCCAAAAAAUUGUUUAAUUUCAAGCGAUGCCUGUAUUGCAUUACUUUUACAAGUUAAGCCAGUGUGUAGGGCACGAUCAGCUCCACAGAAGAAUAGAGCCUUUGCCAAUGUUUUCUUUGCAUCCAUAAAACCAAUUUUACACAGGCAUUCCUUAACCAAGGAGAAAGACAACAAAAACAACAAUAGAACCCCUGUCAUGUCCUUGUCUCCUCCAGCCUUCCAGUCAGCAUUGCUUUUCCCAACUUUGCCAAUCAGACUCAAGUGAGUGAAGAGUUACAGAGAACGUCUGUGCUGCCAAGAGCUAUUUCCAGUGGACUUUGAUCAAAUGAUGCUGUAAUCCCUAAUGGGAAGCAUACUUCAUUUAUAAGGUAUUCUUUGGUGUCAUUCCCAAGGAGCAGGCAUAGGGGUUUUUGAGCAGCAAAGCUCUUUCCCUACAGAAAGUCUGUGCGAGGGCAGCACUGCCAUGUCCAGUGCAGGUGUCCAGACCUGCCCAGGCCUGUGGGAUUUUGGUGUUAGCCUGUGGUACAGCCUGAAAAGGCUGAGGGGAUCAGAGGCAAGCCUUAGCUCUGGAAUUCCCUCAGCCACAGACCUUCACCCAGCAGCAAGGACGAGCACACAGCAGCGCACUCCGAUUUUAUCUCUUCCCGCGAGGAACACGACGGCAGGCUGUUCUGACAUUUGCACUUUCAGGCAACUUUUUUGAACUUAAGAGACUCGGGUUGCUCAGAACAGUAUUUUAUUUUCCCUGAAGACCAAGGACAAUUAGCUCACAUUUUAACAAGGAAGCAAUUAAAGUGCAUGACGUUCAUGAAAAUGAUUUAUCAUGCUAUUAAAUUGGGAUGAAAAUCAUCAAAGUUCAUAAUAGCCAAAUAAAAACAAAUAUAAAUUAUCUUCAUACUCAGUUUGUACCCCGAUGCUUAUCAGCCUGAAAUGCUUGUAUUUAUUCUCCAGAGCUGCUGUGCAACUUUGUAAUUGUAUCUCACCAUUUGGAAAAUGUACCAUUUUCAUUCUGUGCUGUAUUGCAGCCCUUUAAAUUGAAAAGCUUAAACAGCCCUUAUCUGCUUAAAAUUUCCUCAAAAAGUAGAUUAGGCUUGCAGAGUUAAUGGCAUUUUGGGCAUCCCAGGCAACUCUGCUGGAGUCAGGUAUAUCACUGGACACAAGGAGAACCCUUUGCCACCCAAAAUCCACUGUUUCCUCCAUCUAUCCAUUUGUUCAUGCAUUUACAAAAAAGUCUGCUCUCAUAACUAAUAAAAAAUAUAUUAUUUUUUAUGUGCCUUCACUUUUUUGCUAUGUUUUUCACUGUUUUUACAUUCAAAGCAAAAAAAAUUAAGAUGCUUUUACUGAAAUGGCAGAUUCAAACCCAUACAUUUUGCUCCCAUUUUUUUUCCCUAGCAUAUUUGGAUGUUGCAUAGAUAUCUCUUUAUUGUGGUAUAUAAAUAUUUUAAUAACUCCUCAAUAAAAGAAGAAGCAAUACAGAACCA